AUACGGAGGAUCCGAGCGUUAUCCGGAUUUAUUGGGUUUAAAGGGUGCGCAGGCGGCCAUUUAAGUCAGCGGUUAAAUCGUGGGGCUCAACCCCAUUCUGCCGUUGAUACUGGGUGGCUUGAUUGCGGUCGAGGUUGGCGGAAUUCGUUGUGUAGCGGUGAAAUGCAUAGAUAUGACGAAGAACACCGAUUGCGUAGGCAGCUGGCCAGAACGCAAAUGACGCUCAUGCACGAAAGUGCGGGGAUCGAACAGGAUUAGAUACCCUGGUAGUCCGCACAGUGAACGAUGAAUACUUGUUUUCGGCUAUAUAAUGUCGGAGGCAAAGCGAAAGCGAUAAGUAUUCCGCCUGGGGAGUACGCCGGCAACGGUGAAACUCAAAUGAAUUGACGGGG
rnacentral:rRNA from 1 species